rnacentral:rRNA from 1 species
GACGAACUUUGGCGGCGCGCUUAACACAUGCAAGUCGAACGGAAAGGCCUCUUCGGAGGUACUCGAGUGGCGAACGGGUGAGUAACACGUGGGUGAUCUGCCCUGCACUCUGGGAUAAGCCUGGGAAACUGGGUCUAAUACCGGAUAGGACCAUGCUUUAGUGUGUGUGGUGGAAAGUUUUUUCGGUGUAGGAUGAGCCCGCGGCCUAUCAGCUUGUUGGUGGGGUAAUGGCCUACCAAGGCGGCGACGGGUAGCCGGACUGAGAGGUUGGUCGGCCACAUUGGGACUGAGAUACGGCCCAGACUCCUACGGGAGGCAGCAGUGGGGAAUAUUGCACAAUGGGCGCAAGCCUGAUGCAGCGACGCCGCGUGGGGGAUGACGGCCUUCGGGUUGUAAACUCCUUUCGCCAGGGACGAAGCGUUUUGUGACGGUACCUGGAGAAGAAGCACCGGCUAACUACGUGCCAGCAGCCGCGGUAAUACGUAGGGUGCAAGCGUUGUCCGGAAUUACUGGGCGUAAAGAGCUCGUAGGUGAUUUGUCACGUCGUCUGUGAAAUUCCACAGCUUAACUGUGGGCGUGCAGGCGAUACCGGCUGACUUGAGUACUUUAGGGGGAACUGGAAUUCCUGGUGUAGCGGUGAAANGNGNAGAAANNAGGAGGAACACCGAUUGGCGAAGGCAGGGNACGGGGCAGUUAACUGACGCUGAGGAGCGAAAGCAGGGGUAGCAAACAGGAUUAGAUACCCUGGUAGUCCAUGCCGUAAACGGUGGGCGCUAGGUGUAGGGACCUUUUGGGGUUUCUGUGCCGUAGCUAACGCAUUAAGCACUCCGCCUGGGGAUUACGACCGCAAGGUUGAAACUCAAAAGAAUUGACGGGGACCCGCACAAGCGGUGGAGCAUGUGGUUUAAUUCGAAGCAACGCGAAGAACCUUACCAGCUCUUGACAUCUUCUGACAACUCUAGAGAUAGAGCGUUCCCUUCGGGGACAGAAUGACAGGUGGUGCAUGGCUGUCGUCAGCUCGUGUCGCGAGAUGUUGGGUUAAGUCCCGUAACGAGCGCAACCCUUGUUGUUAGUUGCCAGCAUUAAGUUGGGCACUUUAACGAGACUGCCGGUGAUAAACCGGAGGAAGGCGGGGAUGACGUCAAAUCAUCAUGCCCCUUAUGAGCUGGGCUACACACGUGCUACAAUGGAUGGUACAACGAGCAGCGAUCCCGCAAGGGCUAGCUAAUCUUUCAAAGCCAUUCUCAGUUCGGAUUGCACUCUGCAACUCGAGUGCAUGAAGUCGGAAUCGCUAGUAAUCGCGAAUCAGAAUGUCGCGGUGAAUCCGUUCCCGGGUCU